rnacentral:lncRNA from 1 species
GAAUUGCGUCGGGGUGUCCUGUUCUGGGUAAGUCACAGGGCAUGAAACCAAAGGAAGGUGACACUGCUUGUAGAGGGGAGAAACAAGUCGGCAGUUUCUCAGGGGAAGAAUACGGAAAAACGAAAAAGGAAGAGGAAGGGCGUUGCAACAUUGCUAGCUUUUUCUUUGGGGCAAGGUAACUGGAAACAGAUGGGGAAGAGUUCUCUUGAUCCGUUAUCGGAGCCACCUGCAGCGCGGUACAUUCCCGAUGUUGAAUGGGUUGGCGAAGAUGAUCUACUAUCGCAUCUGUUUGUCCUUCGUUUCUUUCAAUGGUAGAACACACCGGGCUCGUAUCCGUUCCGUCUCUUCGGUGCUGGAGGCGUCUGCUGCAUUCUCUCCAAAUGCCUUCUUGCGUACAAACUUGUCUGACAGAUGCGGAGAACGAUGAGAACGAACAUGUUGCACCUUUGUUGCAGGAAAACGGUAAAGAACAAGGAAAGUCCGGUAGCGGUCGUUUUCGCCUCCUUUUUUCCGUACAGGAUUCACCUUGAGCUCUCCCUUCCUCCAAGCUGGUCUCAGAGGUCACACUUGCAGCGUCCCCUGCCCAGUGCUGCAGCGCUUUUUCUGAGAGUAUGUUUUGGAGUGUAUCUGCACCUCUUCCGAGGAUAUUCACAAUCCCUUCUCCAACGACAGACAGAAAUCUCUCCGUCUCUGACCACUGGUGCUCAUCUUUUUCCCCUCCUGGUGAGUGCGAAAGGCUCCUGCUGGCAGAACGGAGUGUUUCCGGCUGUGAUGAAAGUUCCACCGCAGUUUCGGCCUCUCCCAUCUCCAACGUAACGUUUUCACCGUUUGGGGGAGAGGGUUCAGACAGUAGGUUAGAGCAUAUGAAUUCCUCGGCCGAACAAAUCGAUUCAGGUGCAGAUCGAUACCUACGGUGGUUUGUACAUACAGACUGUUUUUCUUUCAGUCCGCUCUUCUCACGAAGAGAUGAAGUAUCUAGUAAGAGCGGAGGCAGUCUGGAAACGGUUGUCAAGGAGACUCUUCUUCGUUUGGUUCGCCUUCGCCUUUCUCGGACUACCUCCCUGGGAGGAGUAACACCCUCUAUCCGUGCGUUCUUACAGGAACUUGAAUUUUCGCUGUCACACCUUGUAUCUGCCUCCACAGAGCCAGAAACGCUUUCAACCCCCUUCAAAACGCGACUACUUCCCGGUGAUUCAUCUCUGGCGUCGGAAGCCGAACUGUUUUGUCGAAGAAUAUGGCGGCAGUCCGGCGCCUCACCGUGAGCGCUUUCAUGGAACACUGAUGGUAUUUUCUUGUCUUCACCUACGGGAGACUCCUCGUCCUGAUCCAUACGUUUGGUUCCCGAGCUACUGACCCUCUCGGCGUUGUUGUGAAAGUACUGCAGAAUGUCGUUUUCUGAAGCUCUGCCGGACUCGGUUGCUGCAAAUGUCGUGAAAGCUGACGCUUCUUGACAAAACAACGGUCGUUGUGCUUCGCCCUCUUCGGCACCUGUCGUGUCUUCGGGAGACACGAAGACGCAAAACGAAGGUGACAACGGCGCGUGUGCAUCGUCUUCUAAAUCACACGGCGUCUUCCGACCAGAAAGGCGUCCUUAUCGAGGUACGCCAGUUGUUUUCCGCCUGUCUUUCUCUACUCAUGUUUUUUUUCAUAACGUGCUCACCACAUCGACCGCAUGGGCGUCGCUUCUUGCAAACGCAUCCAAUCCGGCCGUCUCUUCUGCUGGCAACUUCUUUAGACCUUUUUCUCACCAUCCUUCUCGUUGUUCGGCGUUUCGUCCCCUUCGGUCUCUCGUCUCGUUCCAGAAGAGAAGUGGCGCCUUGUCGCUCUCUCUCCUCCACCAGCAACGCAGAAAAUGAGCAUAUUGCUUGUUUUCCGAACUCCCCCGUGACAUUCUCUACAGACCCUUCACUCACAGCAGUUUUCUGGCAUUCCAGAGGCUGGACUCGCGAUGCGGAAUCGACAUCUUCUCCCGCUCUUGGAGACUGCAAGUCUUCUGUCGUUCGCAGUUCACCGACUGGGAUAUUUACUGGAGAACUCCUGCCUGACCCAGACUUUCCUGUUGGAAAGCUUGUUACAGGGACUGACGCACAUUUCCGCUCUUUUGCUAAUCCAGUGUCACUGCUUUCACCUCGAAGAUCCGUCUUCUGCUGUAGAUGACUUGAGCUGCUGCAUAAAGGAAAACAACUCGCGUGAAAAUGCAGCCACCGUCUGCAUCCUGUCCUGUUCGAUGUGAUGGGAGAGUUCAUAGCCUCUCUUGUUACUACUGAGGUUCGUGGGUGCCGGUGCGUGAAGGCCCAGUUGCCGCCAGUGUGUCCCCCUGAAGUUGCUGACGUUUUCCGGUGUUUGGAGCAGAACAUCCCGGAAAUGAAGAGAGG